CCUACGGGAGGCAGCAGUGAGGAAUAUUGGUCAAUGGACGAGAGUCUGAACCAGCCAAGUAGCGUGAAGGAUGACUGCCCUAUGGGUUGUAAACUUCUUUUAUAUGGGAAUAAAACGUUCCACGUGUGGGAUUUUGUAUGUACCAUAUGAAUAAGGAUCGGCUAACUCCGUGCCAGCAGCCGCGGUAAUACGGAGGAUCCGAGCGUUAUCCGGAUUUAUUGGGUUUAAAGGGAGCGUAGGUGGAUUGUUAAGUCAGUUGUGAAAGUUUGCGGCUCAACCGUAAAAUUGCAGUUGAAACUGGCAGUCUUGAGUACAGUAGAGGUGGGCGGAAUUCGUGGUGUAGCGGUGAAAUGCUGAGAUAUCACGAAGAACUCCGAUUGCGAAGGCAGUUCACUGGACUGCAACUGACACUGAGGCUCGAAAGUGGGGGUAUCAAACAGGAUUAGAUACCCUUGUAGUC
rnacentral:rRNA from 1 species